UACGAGGGGGGCGAGCGUUGUUCGGAAUUACUGGGCGUAAAGCGCACGUAGGCGGCUUCUUAAGUCGGUGGUGAAAUCCUGGAGCUCAACUCCAGAACUGCCUUCGAUACUGGGAAGCUCGAGUCCGGGAGAGGUGAGUGGAACUGCGAGUGUAGAGGUGAAAUUCGUAGAUAUUCGCAAGAACACCAGUGGCGAAGGCGGCUCACUGGCCCGGUACUGACGCUGAGGUGCGAAAGCGUGGGGAGCAAACAGG
rnacentral:rRNA from 1 species